GAGGGAUGUUUUCUUCUUGCUGUUCCAGGGAAUGUGCUGAGUUAACACCUUUUUUCUUUUUAUUGGAGCCGCUGUGGCAGGGAAGACAGUGGUGAGGGGCUUCCUUUGAGUAAAAAGCAGGUAAAUUCAGCCCCUGCUUGCUCCACUGUCUGCCCCUCCAGGGCCUCUGUGUCCUGAUGCAGAGUCCAGCCUGUUCUCACCAGGCUCGCAUUCCUUAUGCCAAGAGACCCACCAAAAAAGAAAGUCCCAAGAAACAGGAAGGAACACCACCAGCAAGAGACCUCACACUCACAGACCUCAGAGAUAUUCAUGGCCUGAGGGGCACAAAGGAGAGUGUGUUGGGAGCGGAUCCCCACUUAGAAAGAAGCAAGACAGUGCCCCAAGGCCUGGAAGAUGUCAGCUGCUUCCUCUGUGCUGUGCUGUGGGGAAGGCCAUCACCGUUUUAACGCCUCUUGAUGGAGUCUGACUGUGUCACCCAGGCUGGAGUGCAAAGGCAAAAUCUCGGCUCACUGCUACCUCUGGCUCCCUGGUUCAAGAGAUUCUUCUGCCUCAGCCUCCUGAGUAGCUGGGAUUACAGCCACCUGCCAUCAUGCCAACCUAAUUUUUCUACUUUUGUGGAGAUGGGGUUUCACUAUGUUGGCUAGGCUGGUAUGAAUUGCUGACACCAGGUGAUCUGCCCUCCUUGGCCUCCCAAGUGCUGGGAUUAUGGGCUGAGCCACCGCACCUGGACAAUAUUAACUUUUUUCUUUCAUUCUCCUGUACAUUUCUAAUUGGCAGUGAGAGUAGUGAAUGUUCUGACAAAGAGUGAUGAAAGGAUUUGGGAUAACCAUCAUUUUCCACAUGGAUUAUGAAGAUGGCUUUGCAGGACAUGGGGCUCCCCCCUGUAAUCUCAGCACUUUGGGAGCUCAAAUUGGGAGGAUGACUUGAGUACAGGCAUUCAAGACCAGCCUGGGCAACAGUGAGACCUCGUCUCUACAAAAGAUAAACAAAAUGAGCCAGGCAUGGUGGCACACACCUGCGUUUCCAGCAAAUUGGGAGGCUGACAUGGGAGGAUUGCUUCAGCCUGAGAGGCUGAGCCUGCAGUGAGCUGAGAUUGCACCACUGCACACCAGUCUUAGAAACAGAGUGAGGCCCUGUCUUUAAAAAGAAGAAACAAAAAAAAAAAAAAAGAAAAAGAAAAGAAAAGAUGGCUGUUCGUGUUUUAUCCUGCACAGGCAUUCUUUUUCUGAUCUGCACUGCAGUUCUGAGCCAGAGUCUCCCCCUUCAGCACCACCUGACAAUCCUCAGCCCUGGACAAUGUGAGAUUUUUUUGACCGAGGAUCACUGUGCUCCUUCAGGAUCCACCAGAAAGUGCUGGUUAGCCUGAUAGGCCCUGGUUUGACUUACAUCUAGCAAGACCUUCAUCUGGUUUGCAGGAGUAGAUAGGGGGUCACUUGGAUGACAGGGACUCCAGUCCAGACCCCAUUCUCCCUCAUUCCCUCCUGCAAAGUUCAAUCCUCACAGUCCUCUGAGGCUGUGGCAAGUGCAGAAACAGAACUGCGCCUAUCCAAAGUGCCUCCCUUCCCCUGGACUCAUGCCAAGGCUUCCUCCCUCUGACCUGUCCCUUGUCUUUGCAUCUAGGGUGGAUGCUUGCCACUGACCCUCUCUCCCCAGGUUUCCCUGCUAGACUGACUUUCUGCCCCUGGGAUUGGGUGGGGCAGCCAAUGGAACCUCAUGCAGACCAGGGUGAAAUCAAAGGGCCUUGGAAACUCACAGCCCCACAUCCAGGCCCCAGUCCUUUCAGAGUCUCAGAUCCAAGUCCCCAGUUUAUCAGGGAUGUGGCUCUGUGAAAGCCAGAGAACCCGGUCCCCAGGGCUGCUGCCAUCUCUCUCCUCCUCAUUUACUCUGGCCCCCAUCAGCUCCUCUGGGCCACUCCCUUUCUGGAGUCCCCCUGGCUCCAUCCGGCGGCAGUGAGUUCGCAGAUCUCCUGGACCCCAGGCUGCUACAGGCACCUCCCUCAACAUCCACUGUCUGCUCUCAGAGUGACCUUCUCCUCAUAUCUUUAUUGGAGGAAAAAAGAGGGGAAGCCCCUGGUCUUGGGGAAGAUAGUUAUAAAUGCAAUCUGGAAUAAAACCCCCUUGAGGACUAGAGGAGGCCAGCAGGGCCUGACCAGAGAUUUUUGACUGUUAGAAAUGCACAGAGGGCAAACACCACAGGAAAAGCGCUGACUCAGAAACAGACUCACUGCAUUCCAGGUGCAGCCUCCUCAGCUCUAAGGCUGGGCCAGCAGAGCCUGGGAAGGGAUGGCCCCCACACUGGGACCAUCCCAGGCUCUGCCAACAGCCUGGCACUUCUAGGAGAACCAGAGGAGUCGGCUCUUCCUGUGCAAGGUAGACAAGGUUCCCCUCCAUUGGUCCCGGUUGCCUCUUUAGGUCCAGAGCAGCAGCUGAGGAGCUCCCUGCUUUAUGCCUUGCUGUGGGCACUGAAAUAGCUCAGUAGAAUUUGGGGAGAAUGUAUGAGUCACUGCUGAUUCCAGGGAGAGUGUUUCUUAGCAUUGUUUGUGGCCAUACUCCUGGGUGCAGGAGAGAUUGGCUGACAUUUCCAGGAAGCAGAGGACUCAGCUUCUCUGACAGCUCAGGCUGGGGGAGGAAAAUUCAAGUUCAGAAAUACUUUAGAACCCCGAUGAAAAGCCUGGAGAAGCUUUGGAAUCCCAGUAGAAAUUCAGUGAGUGGAACUGAGGUUAAGCCAUCCCUUCAGAUGGACUCAAAAGGCUGCACUGACCUGGACAGCAGAGGAGCACCUUCAGAAGCACAGGCAACCAGAACAUGGUAGAAAGACCCCCCAAACUGCAGGAUUCUCGCUGGGGUCCUGAGGAUGGUGCAGGAUUUCCCCAAGGGGUUCAUUUCUCUCACAAAUUCUGCAGAUACACAGCUUCCACCAUUCAUGCUUCCAGAUCGAAAAGUCUCCCUCUUUAUGUCUGACCACACUGCUCCUCUCUGGGCUCUGCCCCAGCUCACACACUCAGAUUCACUCUUCCCAAGCUGGUAUUCUGAGGGAAGCCCAACACGUUUGUGAGUAAUGAUGCCUCACCUUCAAGUAGGAGCCAAGACUGUGUCUGCUCUCUCUGCCCUCAAAGACACUGUGAUGCUUUAAGGAUCUGCAUUAUCUCUUUUGUAAUUAUGUUUUUUUAAAAUUUUUAAACUCAAUCUAGAAGGAAGUCUUUCAAUCCUUUUGUCUAAAUGCCCACAAAAUACCUGCCAUGUUUUAUGUUGUCUAGCUUCCCUCCCAGGGUCCCAUGAAAACACUCAGUCCUGUCCAGCCCAGCCCCCACAUCACUUUGUAAUUUAGGCCUGAUUUCUUUCAGUGAAUCCUUGACCUUAACCUUGAGAUAAAUUACACCCUCAGUAGUUCCUGUUUUCCACCUGAAUGGGCAUAUGAUCUACCAUGUUAGGUAGCACAAAACCCAGGUGACAAGUGGAUACACCAAGAUUUUUAUUGUGUUUUUCAGGGAUGACAUCACUGUCUUCUUAAAGUUGUUUUAACUCUAAAACAUUUUGAUGCUUUUGAUGUGGCCAAAGGUUCUCUAAUAAAGAUACCACAUAUAUAUAUAUUUUUUUUUCUAAUGUCAGAAACAGCUUAAAUCCUUCCCUGUAUCACUAUGAAAGUCACAUAUUAGUCAAACUUUACCAGUGUUUAUGGAAUAAGUGAAUAAAUGAGUUUUAGACCUUCACCCUAUUAUUAAUUCUUUCACUUUUAUGAAUCUAUAUCUAAUUUAAUCACUUAAUAAGAAGAAAGUUGAAAACUCAAUCAGGGUUAACUGGAUGGAAGUUCAGGAUCUAGUUGGAUGUCAUUUUUGGAUUGGAAGUUGGUAAUUGAGAAGGGGGUCGUGGUGAGAAAGGUCAAUAAAAGCUCCUGAAGAUGCACAGAAGAGACCCAAAGCCCUGGCUCCUGGAGCUACUGCUUGAUUCUGGCAGAGGUCCCAGCACCCUGCAACGUGAGUCCAGAUCUGGCAAGUCACCACUUAUUAGGAUUGGGAAUGUGCCCAUUUGAUCUGAUCUUCUGUAUAGCACGUCAUACAAAAAAGUCUGGAAGACGCUAGCACAUACACUGUGAAGGGAAGUCACAGAUAAGGGGAAGAUUAUAGAAGACAUUUGCUCUGUGUUUUUGGAAUGUUUUGCAUUGAGAAUUCUGUCCAGAGAAGGGAAAAAGGAUGAAAAUCAAAUGAAGCUCACCCCCAUGUACCUCUAUGUACCUCUUACCAUGCUGGACUUUCUUUUGUUUUGUUUUCUUUUCUCUUUUUUUUUUUUCUGAUAUGGCAUCUAGCUCUGUUGCCCAGGCUGGAGUGCAGUGGCACGAUCUUCAAUCACUGCAACCUCCACAUCCUGGGUUCAAGCAAUUCUCCUCCCUCAGCCUCUCCAGUAGCUGGGACUACAGGUACAUGCCACCAUGCCUGGUUAAUUUUUUUUAUUAUACUUUAAGUUUUAGGGUACAUGUGUACAAUGUGCAGGUUACUUACAUAUGAAUACAUGUGCCAUGUUGGUGUGCUGCACCCAGUAACUCGCCAUUUAACAUUAGGUAUAUCUCCAAAUGAUAUCCCUCCCCCCUCCCCCC
rnacentral:lncRNA from 1 species